GGACCAGUCCAGCUCACAAGUAUGAAGAGAAUGUCGGGAGAGGAAGUGGUGGCUAUGAGUCAGCAUGAGUCAUCUCGUUCCAAUGAGAAUGAAGGCUGAGGUGUGCGCCUUUUUUUUUUUUCCUUCUUAGUCGUGUGUACAUCAUUGGGAAUGGAGGGAAAUAAAUGACUGGAUGGUCGCUGCUUUUUAAGUUUCAAAUUGACAUUCUAGACAAGCGGUGCCUGAGCCCGUGCCUGUCUUCAGAUCUUCACAGCACAGUUCCUGGGAAGGUGGAGCCACCAGCCUCUCCCUGACAAGCAAAGUGGAUCAGCAAAGGCUGCAGUCACCAGCAUCUUUUCCAACCUUAAUGAACUGUAUCCUCAAAAGAACACUAUCAGACUGGCUCUGCCGACUUCCAGUUCUGGAACAAGAUGGUUAAACUCAUUUUUCCCUGCUCUGCUCCUCUAAAUACAACUAAGUACCUUGGAAACUAUUCAGCAGACAAUGAUAAAGGGCUCUGAAACCUAGAAGAAAAGGUGUACUUGCAAGAAACCUCAGGACUUGAGUAACAGCAACAUGGCACUGCCACUGGAGCCCUUGUACAGCGAUCCUAUGACUUGUCAGCUCAGUCAAUUGCUCUGACUCUUACUGCUUUCAUUUAUGAAAUGGAGACAAUAACCCCUCUCUCAUAGGAAGGGUAAGACCAGAAGAGCCUACACUAUGGUUGGAAUAAUAUUUGUAUACAGUGAUCAAGAGAGUGUUCUCUGAAACCAGACUCUCUUUAAAUCUUACCUCUAUCACUUAUUAGUUAUAUGGCUAGCUGUUACAUGAGGUCAAAAGAAUGUGUUCUUCAUAAAACUAUACAGAAGAUUAAAUUAAUUAAAACAUGUACAGCCCUUUUAAAAAAGAUCAAGUGAAACAGCAUACAUGAAAGUGCUUUCAGCACGCUGAGAAUAACAAUAGCAAUGGCUAGAGAUUAUUGAGCACACCCCACUGCCAGCACCAGGGAACUUUGUACCUACAACUUUUUACUUAGUCCACAUAAUCAUGAAUUCAUCUCAUUUAUGUAGACCGGAAAACAAAAGCCUAGAGAAGUAAUUUGCCCAAAGACAUAGCUUACAAAGCAAUAGAAUCCAGGUCUGGACUCUUGGGAUCUGACUGUGUUCUAAUGCCUCCCAGAGAAAGUAGGCUAGAGAGGGCAGGAAUAGCUUGACUUAGAGAUCACUUCCACUGGCACGGUGGGUACAAUUUGAUGUGGGAGGCUCUGGGUGCAGCCUGUGAUGGCAGAAUGGAGGAGCCAAGAGUCAUUCUUGGUCUCAUUGUCACUGCCUUCAAACUAACAAGUUGCCUGAGAGCUAAGGUUCCAUUUGAUAGGACACCGGGUGGGAUGUGCAUCAGAAUAUCCAUUUCCUUGAAGGAUCCAAUGAUUAGGCUGAGGCAAAAUAUUUUAGACCAUUCCCAGGUCUAAAAAUAACUCCAUCAUCACCUCUAAUAAGGACUCAGUCUGGAGUGACGUCACUCUUUCAGGUGCAGAAAAGGAAAGCAUGACUGUGUGUCACUGACUUAAAAUAGGAGUGAGGCGAGAGGGGCAGCUGGGCUCAUGGACGUCAAGCGGACAGUUUCUCAGCGGUAUUUCCUAUAUUUCCUGUUUUGGACAGCAGGUUCCUGCCCUUCUAAGCUGGGGGUAGGGGUGAGGGAGAGUAUGUUAAAAAGCUCUGUGGACUUGCUUUUUCUCUUCUCCAUGUGUGUUCUUUUCAUCAAUAAUCUGCGUUCAUCUUUACUGGCUGUUCAUGCAUUAUCCGGAGAUAUGCUAGUUACAGAAAUUAAAACAGGCAACUCUUCCUAUUUCUCCCUAGCUUUACACUACAGAUCCAUGAAGUUUUCUUGACUGUCCCUGCCUAGGGUACAACAAGGAAACCACUAUUUGGAUAAUUCCCCUGAUUCCAUGGUACUGUGGAAGUGGUGGGCUCUCCAUAUGUCAGGGUAUUCUAUGUCUAUGAAAAGGUAUUUCUUUUGAGACCAAGGGUGGACUGGAGUCUAAGAGUCUACCAAUUUUUAAAAUAAUUUAGCUAUAUUUAAGUCAAUAAAUUGUAUUCAAGGCUGACUUUGUAGUGAUUUAUUCCAUGAAUUAUUUCAUUCAAAAUAAUUUUGAAAGGACUUCUGGUCCAGACAAAAUAGCAUAGAUCCAUUUCUCUCUUCUCUCCUCUCAGUUAAAUGCAAUUAUAAAGUCUAGAAAUAAUGCAAGAGGUAACCAAAGGAGAACUCUGAAAGAUGGAAACAGAAAGAGGAAUUAGUUAGGGACCCUAAGACUGGAGGAACAAUAGAGGUAGGAUAUCUUACCAUCACCGCAUCCAACAAGAGAAGGUGACCUAGGCCUGGUAUUACCUGAUCCCAACUUGGCACCAAAAUACAGCCAACAUAGACUCAUUCCUCCUGCUUCCUGGUGAGCCUGGUAUUCUCCUCCACUUCCACUGACAGACAUGUAGGGUGACUGGGUGGUACCAACAAUGGGAACCACAUCAUAACAGGCAGCCUAGUUUGGGAAGCACUCUUGGUCUCCAUAGGCCUGAGACUCCUUUUGCCCAUCUAGAGGCACCAGGUGGCCCAGCCCAUGGAAAUUCCCUCAGCCCCAGAAAGGGGCACCAGAAAGGACCAGUGGGAGCUCCAGUAGGCUAUAAUAGUAUGAAGGCUCUGAAAUGAAGUUGCCACUGGACCUACAGCCCACUAAACUAGGCUAGGACCUUAGGUGAUAGCCUGAAAAAAAAAAGAUCCAGGGUCUUUUAACAUAAAAAACAGGAUGUGCAAAUACAAUGAAAAAACACACAUUAUACCAAGGACUAGGAAAACUACCUAAAUGAGAAAAGACAAGUGACACCAACAUUGAGAUGAAUCAGAUAGUGGAACUGUCUGACAGACUUUAAAACAGCCAUUAUAAAAAUGUUUCAGAAAGCAAUUACAAAUUCUGUUGAAACAAAUGAAGGAAUAGAAAAAUCUCAGUGAGGAAAUAGAAAUUGUGAAAGAAGAACCAAGUGGAAAUUAUAGAAUUAAAAAAUAUAACAAUAGAAAUUUUAAAAAAAUUACUGGAUUCUACUCAAUAGUAGAAUGGAUAUGACAGAGGAUAGAAUCAGUGAAAUUGAGGAAAGAACAAUAUAAAUCCCCCAGUCUGAAUAACAGAGAGAAAAUAGACUGAAAAGCUCUACCGUGAAUGAUAACUUUGAUCACAAACUAGUAGUAUUAACCACGUGGAAGAGGAGUUGCUAAAUCAACUUAAGAGAACAAAUAGUUUUAGGUGAGUGACAAAUAAUUGGAAAAUUAAAAAGUUAAAUGAUGUCAUGUAUAAUAACAUCAACAUACAGAGAAAUAAAUCUAAUAAAAUGUAAUUAAAAACUAUAAAAUCAUUGUGAAGAGGCAUUAAAAGAAUCCAAAAUAUAUAUUCAUGGAAUAAAAGACAAUAUUUUUAUAGUCAGUUCUGUCCAAAUUGACCUAUAGAGUCAGUACAAUUUUACAACAAAUUUUAGUGGAAUUUUGUUUAUUUUAUUUGAGGAAUAAAGUUUAUAUUUUAUUUGGAAAUUUAAAGGACUGAAACAAUCUUGAGCAAGAACAUUUGUUAAGACUUAUUCUGAAGCUUUAGCAAAUAAGACAGUGUGAGAUACACACAAGCAUAGACAAAUAGACCAAUGAAACAGAAAAGAGAGUACUAGAAAACAGACCACGCAUAUUCAGUCAGUUGAUUUAUGACAAAAGCAAUACUGCCAUGCAAUUGGAAUAGGACAGAUAAUGUUUGUAUAAAUGUUGCAGGGUCAGUUGGAUCUUCAUACUUAAAAAAAAUGAAUCUUGACUCUACCUCACACCACACACACAAAUCAAUCAGAUAGAAUGUAGAUCUAAAAGUGAAAGGCAAAAUAAUAAAACUUCUAAAAGAUAACAUAAGAGAAUAAUUUAUGACCUUGGAGUAAAAUCUUUUCAAAUGUAAUACAAAAUGUACUAAGCACAAAGGAAAAGAUUGAUGAAUUGGACUUCAUUAAAACUAAGAACUUCUGCCCAGGUGCGAUGGCUCACACCUGUAUUCCAAGCACUUGGGGAGGCCAGGAAGGGAAGAUCCCUACAAAAUAUUUAAAAAAUUAGCCAGGUGUGGUGGCACACCCUUGUGGUCCCAGCUACUCAAGAGGCUGAGGUGCAAGAAUUGCUUGAGUCCAGGAGUUUGAGGCUGCAGUAAGCCCUGUUUGCACAACUGCACUCCAAAAAUAAUAAAAAUAAAAUACAUAAAUUUUUAAAACCUAAGAACUUCUGUUUAUCAAAAGACACCAUUAAGAGAGUGAAGAAGCAAGCCCUUGAGUAAGAGAAGAUAUUUGCAAAUCAUAAACCCAAUAAAGGGUCGGUAUCUAGAAUAUUUAAAGAAUUUCCAUGAGUCAUUAAUAACCCAAUAGAAAACAUGGGCAUAAGAUUUGAACAAGCACUUCACGAAAGAGGCUUUGUAAUUUUCUAAUAAAUGCUAGCAAGGAAGUGCAAAUUCAAGUCAUAAGGAGAUAACCUCUACAGAGCCACCAGAGUUGUCCAAAAUGACAGACUAAUAAUACUAAGUGCCAGAGAGAAUAUACAGCAACUACAGCUGCCAUCGUCUGGCUGGUGUGAGUGUAAAUUAGUAUAACCACAUUGGAAAACUGGCAGGAUCUACUACAGCUGAGCAUUUGUGUAUCUUAUGACCCAGAAAUUCUACAAAAAUGUUCAUGACUCUCUAGUUAUAGUAACCAAAGACUGGAAACAAUCCAAAUUUCCAUCAACAGUGGAAUGGAUAAGUAUAUCAGGAUGUACUGAGCAAUGAAAUUAAAGGAUCUAAUGCAACAGACAGUAACAUGGAUGAAUGUAAUAAACAUCAUGUUCAGUGAAAGAAGCCAGAAAACCAAGAGGGUACCCUGAUGACUCCAUUUACAUGAAGUUCAAGAACAGACAAAGCUAAUCAAUGGGGUCAGGAGUCAAAGGUGGUAGUUAUUUUGAGUAUGUGACUGGUAGGGGUACAAGUGAGACUUCUGGGGUGUUGGCAAUGUCCUACUUCUUGACCUAGUCAGUGAUUUCUCUGGUUUGCCUCCUUUGUGAAAAUUCAUCAGUGUGUUCUGGUUAUUAUUUGUGUACUUUUCUCUAUGUAUCUUUUACUUCAGUAAAGAGUUUACUGAAAAGAACAUACUUGGGUUUGCAGAGUUGAAAACACCCACAACAUCUUCAUUGCCUCACAAAGACUAUUUUACAUGAUGUUUAAAAACUUUAGAAGCUAAAAUGCUGUUCUUUCAUUCUGAGCUGAUUACAGAUUACAGAUUAGUAAGAAAGUAAGUGGGCUACUUGUUUAAAGAUGGUCUAUGUUAAGUACCCUGAUAUCUUCUUUUGAAAGAGAGGUCAGUCUUCCUUUCAGCAGAGCAUUCUGUUCACCUGCCUGCCCACCUACCUCAUGGACCUUACAGAGCUUGGUUACCCUGACUCUAGGCCUCUCAGCUCUUGUACUGAUCCUCCCAGCUGUCUAUUCCGAUGCCAUGACCCGAUCUGGAGACUAGAGAAGCUAGGCCACAGUCAGCUCUUCCUUGUCACUGUACAACUCACCUGGUGACUUGGUUGUUGUUGUUGUUUUUUUUUUAAUUCCAUGCCGAUGUACCCUGACAUGGAGAACUAAAGACAGAAUUAUUUAGGGAUUUCCUCUCUCUCAUUCUGAAAACGUAUAAAUAGCCUUUGCUGAGUUACUUUCUUAAAAUAACCCUGACAUUUUUUUAAAUGAGCAAAGGGGCUCUAACAUGAAAGGUAGAUAUACUGAAGGAAAGAGCCCUUAAACACAAAGGGCUAGUUUAUUUCAUUAUGAGAUGUCCAGGGCUUUCCAGUCCCUUAAUUCUAUCAAUGAACAGAGUGAGAGGUAACAAUGAGCUGUACAUUUUUUACAAAACCUCUCUGCAUAGUCCCACCAUCUCUCCUUCCCAGUAGGUUGCUGAAAUUAUGUUAAAGUCAGGUGGGGACUUCUAGAAUACCCACUGUAACCCUCUUGUUUGGAUGACAUUGAGGCCAGGGAGGGGAAAAGAACUUGCAAGUUGAGCAGUAAUAACACAGAUCCCACAGGACAGCUGGCAGUGACCCCACAACAGGGAUUUGAAAACAAAGUAAGGUCUUGUUGUUCCCUUGGUUCCUCUUCUUUAUUUCCUACUAUCAAAGUCAGGUUCUAGAAACUUCCCUAGGAGGCGGCAAGAGGCAGUCUCUGCCUACUCCCAGUAGCAAAUUGGCCACAGGAAGUCCUCACUGGGGAUGGACUGGAGGAGAGAGGCAGCUGUGUGGAAAGGGCAAACCUUGAAAACACCGAAGUCCUUGAUUGGGCUUGCAGAAGGAUGUGGCAAAGAGUAAAGACCUUGAGAUCUGGAGGCACAACUCAUAGGUUCAAAUCUUUUUUUUUCUUUUUUUUUUUUUUUUCUGAAGUGGAGUCUUGCUUUGUUGCCCAGGCUGGAGUGCAGUGGCGCGACCUUGGCUCACUACAAGCUCCACCUCCCAGGUUCAUGCCAUUCUCCUGCCUCAACCUCCCGAGUAGCUGGGACUACAGCACCACUACGCCCAGCUUAUUUUUUGUAUUUUUUAGUAGAGACGGGGUUUCACUGUGUUAGCCAGGAUGGUCUCAAUCUCCUGACCUCGUGAUCUGCCCGCCUCGGCCUCCCAGAGUGUAGGGAUUACAGGCAUAAGCCACUGCGCACAGCCCGUAGGUUCAAAUCUUACCUGCACCUCUUAACCUCUUAGGGCCUCAGUGUCCUCUACUUGUGAAGUAGGGAUAACAGUCAUAUUCACUUCCUGGUUUUGCUGUGCAAAAUGAAUAGCAUGUGAUGCUGAGGCACUGUAAGUCGUGAGGGCAGAUGAUCACCCGCUUUAGGAGCCAUUCUUCCAAAAUCUUAGGUGAGUGAAAAAGAAGCAGAGAUAGCUUUUUGUAUUUGCGCAUGGAGGCAGAGUUCAUCUGUUGCCUGAGCUAACAGUAUACUAUUCAGCCCCUAGUGAAACUCUGGCCCCAGGGCAGGACCAACUAACUAGGUAGGGCAGUGAUGAAAAAGGGAGAGUCUUCUCAGUGGAGUCUGGUCUGGGUAGAGAUGUCAAAGGCAAACCAUCACCUCCUUGACUUGUUGGCUCUAGGUGAUGAUGCUAACCUGACCUGGAGGGAUAGCCCUUCUAUGGGGUGGGCAGGGGCAGCCAGAGGUGUUCUGAAAACCAGAGAAGUCUCCUCACUGGAAAACAUUUAUUCCUGGGAUCUGUCAGUUGAUGGCAGAAAUGUUCAUUGUUAAAGAGCCAUUUCUUUGGCUUAUUAAUUGGUCCUCUGUUAGCCAGUCAACAAUACUGUACCCAGCACAGAUAUCCUUGAGAAAUGAAGGAGAAAUAAAGUUUUUCCUAGAUAAGCAAAAACUGAUGGAAUUUAUCAUCACUAGACUGACCCUACAAUAAAUGCUUAAGAGAGUCCUACAUCUGGAAGCAAAAGGGCUAUAUUCACCAUCAUGAAAACCCAAAAGUAUAAAACUCAUUGGUAAAGCAGACACACAAAUAAGAAAGAGAAUGGAACCACAUGUUAUCACUACAGAAAACCACCAAACUGCAAAGGUAAACAAAGGAAAGGAAGAAAGGAAGGAAGAAAAAAGAUUAUUUAAAAUAAUCAGAAAACAAUUAAAAUGACAGGAAUAAGACCUCACCUAUCAAUAACAAAUUUUUUAAAUGGCUUAAAUUUCCCAGUUAAAAGAUAUAGACUGGCUGAAUGGAUUUUAAAAGUGACCUAACUCUAUGCUACCUACAAGAAACUAAUUUCACCUGUGGAGACACACAUAGACAGAAACUGAAGGGAUGAAAAAAGAUAUUGCAUGCAAAAAAAACCAAAAGUGUGCAGGAGUAGCAAUACUUACAGCAGACAAAAUAGAUUUUAAGUCAUAAAACAUAGAGAAAAAGAGGUAAUUAUAUAACGAUAAAGGGAUCAUUUGAGUAAGAGGAUAUAACAAUUAUAAAUAUACAUAUGCUCAACACUGGAGCACCCAGAUAUAAAAAGAAAACAUAAUUAGAGCUAAAGAGAGAUAGAUGCUUAUACAAUCAUAGUUUGGACUUUAAAACUCAAUUUUCAGCUUUGGAGAGAUCAUCUAGACAGAAAAUCAACAAGGAAACAUUAGACUUAUACUGCACUAGAGACUAAAUGAAGCUAAUAGACAUUUACAGAACAUUUCAUCCAGUAGCUGCAGAAUCACAUGCUUCUCUCUUCAGUACAUGAAACAUUCUCUAAGAUAGACCAUAUGUUAGGCCACAAAACAAGCCUCAACAAAUUUUUAAUAAUUGAAAUCAUAUCAAAUAUG